AAAAAAAAGAGUUUGAUCCUGGCUCAGAAUCAACGCUGGCGGCGUGCCUCAGACAUGCAAGUCGAACGAUUAAGACUUCCUUCGGGAAGUGUAUAAAGUGGCGCACGGGUGAGUAACACGUAAGUAAUCUACCUUCGAGUGGGGAAUAACGUCCGGAAACGGACGCUAAUACCGCAUAAUGCAGCGGCAUCUAUGAUGACAGUUGUUAAAGGAGCAAUCCGCUUGAAGAGGAGCUUGCGGCAGAUUAGCUAGUUGGUAAGGUAAUGGCUUACCAAGGCUACGAUCUGUAACCGGUCUAAGAGGACGGUCGGUCACACUGACACUGAAUAACGGGUCAGACUCCUACGGGAGGCAGCAGUCGGGAAUUUUGGGCAAUGGGCGAAAGCCUGACCCAGCAACGCCGCGUGAAGGAUGAAGUAUUUCGGUAUGUAAACUUCGAAAGAAUGGGAAGAAUAAAUGACGGUACCAUUUAUAAGGUCCGGCUAACUACGUGCCAGCAGCCGCAGU
rnacentral:rRNA from 1 species